ACAUUGGUAGUUUAGUAGUAAAACUCUAACCUUUCAUGCAGGAGACCCAGGUUCUAUUCUUGGCCAAUGUA
rnacentral:tRNA from 1 species